rnacentral:lncRNA from 1 species
GGUGAUUCUAGAAUGGGGGGAUUCUAGAACAGGGCUGGCCCCAUGGACCAUUAUUAGAGAAAGAGCAUAGAGGUAGAAAGAGGGCUCUAGAUGGAUAUAACCUGGUUUGAUGAGUUCUCUUUCUACCUCUAUGAGAAGAGGGUUGCAAUUGACUGUGUACAUAGUAGUCCCUCUGUGUUUUCUACUCAGAUUUAUAACACCUGACUGGUGUUUUCUGCUCGGGUUUAAAACACAUCUCUGACUGGUGUUUUCUGCUCUGGUUUAAAACACAGCUCUGACUGGUGUUUUCUGCUCUGGUUUAAAACACAUCUCGGACUGCUAUGCACAUGCCUUAACUAACAACCUUGAUGUGUUUGUCACGAUGACGAUGAUGAUGCUAAGAAUAAAAACAUUUGUGUUUACACACCCAUACAUACACACUUCCCAUGGUUUUCAUUUGGGGGAUGGCGAGACAGGUAGAGGGAGGAACUCUUGAUUCAAGGAUUUUGGUUUUGUGAGAAGCAGUGAACGAGUGCACACUUCAGAAGAAAGGAGAUAUUAUUGGGACGCCCCCUAUAUGCUCUCCUCAGUCAGAAGCCAUGUCAGCAAUUCGCUAUAUAAACAGGUCUGUCUGUUGUUGAAGUGGGAGGGACAGAGAUGAUAAGAGGUUAGUCUGUCUGUUGUUGAAGAUGAUGGGAGGGACUGUAUGAAUACAGUCCCUGAGAAUCUACCAUCUACCAUCUACAUUAUGAAUACAGUCCCUGAUAAUCUACCAUCUACAUUAUGAAUACAGUCCCUGAGAGUCUACCAUCUACCAUCUACAUUAUGAAUACAGUCCCUGAUAGUCUACCAUCUACCAUCUACAUUAUGAAUACAGUCCCUGAUAGUCUACCAUCUACAUUAUGAAUACAGUCCCUGAGAAUCUACCAUCUACCAUCUACAUUAUGAAUACAGUCCCUGAUAAUCUACCAUCUACAUUAUGAAUACAGUCCCUGAGAGUCUACCAUCUACCAUCUACAUUAUGAAUACAGUCCCUGAUAAUCUACCAUCUACAUUAUGAAUACAGUCCCUGAUAGUCUACCAUCUACAUUAUGAAUACAGUCCCUGAUAGUCUACCAUCUACAUUAUGAAUACAGUCCCUGAGAGUCUACCAUCUACAUUAUGAAUACAGUCCCUGAUAGUCUACCAUCUACAUUAUGAAUACAGUCCCUGGUAGUCUACCAUCUACAUUAUGAAUACAGUCCCUGAGAGUCUACCAUCUACAUUAUGAAUACAGUCCCUGAUAGUCUACCAUCUACCAUCUACAUUAUGAAUACAGUCCCUGAGAGUCUACCAUCUACAUUAUGAAUACAGUCCCUGGUAGUCUACCAUCUACCAUCUACAUUAUGAAUAUAGUCCCUGAUAGUCUACCAUCUACAUUAUGAAUACAGUCCCUGAGAGUCUACCAUCUACCAUCUACAUUAUGAAUACAGUCCCUGAGAGUCUACCAUCUACCAUCUACAUUAUGAAUACAGUCCCUGAGAGUCUACCAUCUACCAUCUACAUUAUGAAUACAGUCCCUGAUAGUCUACCAUCUACAUUAUGAAUAUAGUCCCUGAUAAUCUACCAUCUACAUUAUGAAUACAGUCCCUGAUAGUCUACCAUCUACCAUCUACAUUAUGAAUACAGUCCCUGAUAGUCUACCAUCUACAUUAUGAAUACAGUCCCUGAGAGUCUACCAUCUACCAUCUACAUUAUGAAUACAGUCCCUGAUAAUCUACCAUCUACAUUAUGAAUACAGUCCCUGAUAGUCUACCAUCUACAUUAUGAAUACAGUCCCUUGAUAUCUACCAUCUACCAUCUACAUUAUGAAUACAGUCCCUGAUAGUCUACCAUCUACCAUCUACAUUAUGAAUACAGUCCCUGAUAGUCUACCAUCCACCACCUGUCCUGUGACUUCUAAUAGGCUCUCGUGAAGGACAGGAAGUGAGAGACAGAGGGAAGGAAGACGUUUUAGACACACCCAAUGAAACUGUUCAUUAAGAACCAAUACAAUAGAACUUGUAUUGACUAUUCAACCCCCCCUCUGGAGCGGUUUGUCUCACUACGACAUCACUCUCUGGAUCCUUGACUUUAUAGGGUCCCCUGACGUUGUGAUUCUGGCAGGAUUUCAUCCAUUCUAUUGAUGUUUCCCAAAUGGCACCCUAUUCCCUAUAAUAGUGCACUACUUUAGACCAGAGCCCUAUGGCACCCUAUUCCCUAUAUAGUGCACUACUUUAGACCAGAGCCCUAUUCCCUAUAAUAGUGCACUACUUUAGACCAGAGCCUUAUUCCCU